AAUAAUUAAAAAAAUAGAAUUUUACCAACCCUAUUCGUGGUGCAUUGAGAACAUUACAUAGCUUGUGAGUUUACAUACAUUGCAUUCUCCUUUGUCUUAGUGAAAUCAUAAAGUAGACGUAGCUCUUGCACUGAAGAGUCAACCACACUAAAUUUUGUGUUCUUGCUUUCUGUUUUCUUUUUUUCAUAUUAUUAUUGCUCUCGGUGAUACAUGAUCAGCUCUUACUCUGUAAUAGCGUGUACGGAGAAGAAUUGAAGCUAGUUUCUCAGAAAGUAAACAACUUUCCAAACUAGUAUAUGAUUAUGAACAGUCUCUCCACUCCUUACUGUACGAUAUGAGAUGGAUGAUGGAACAUUCCUUACUGUAUUCCUUACUGUUCUUUCUUUCCAGUUCACAGUCACUGGUGUUAAAGCAUCUGGAUAGUAAUUGUUUAGUUAUCUCGUAAGUUUUUAUCUAACAAAUUAUAAUUGCUAGCUACAUCUCUUGCAGUGACGAACUGAACCUCAAUCUGACUGAAGCUGCAUGGGUCUCUGUCCUUCCUCCACUAGCUUCAGUUUUCGUUACAACAAUUGCAUCACAAUUUGCAGACAACUUAAUUUCCAAAGGGGUUGAUACCACCAUGAAAUGAGGGCUUUUACACC